rnacentral:rRNA from 1 species
UACGUAGGGGGCGAGCGUUGUCCGGAUUUAUUGGGCGUAAAGAGCGUGUAGGCGGCCAGGUAGGUCUGCUGUGAAAACUCGAGGCUCAACCUCGAGACGUCGGCGGAAACCAUCUGGCUAGAGUCCGGAAGAGGAGAGUGGAAUUCCUGGUGUAGCGGUGAAAUUCGUAGAUAUUGGGAAGAACACCGGUGGCGAAGGCGGCUCACUGGCUCAUUACUGACGCUCAGGCGCGAUAGCGUGGGGAUCAAACAGG